UACGUAGGGGGCAAGCGUUGUCCUGAUUUAUUGGGCGUAAAGAGCGUGUAGGCGGCCAGGUAGGUCCGUUGUGAAAACUCGAGGCUCAACCUCGAGACGUCGGCGGAAACCCUCUGGCUAGAGUCCGGAAGAGGAGAGUGGAAUUCCUGGUGUAGCGGUGAAAUGCGCAGAUAUCAGGAGGAACACCGGUGGCGAAGGCGGGUCUCUGGGCCGUAACUGACGCUGAGGAGCGAAAGCAUGGGGAGCGAACAGG
rnacentral:rRNA from 1 species